rnacentral:lncRNA from 1 species
CACAGCUUUGUGCUGGGCAGGACUUCUCAGCUACCUGCAGUAGCCAGCAUGUCUUUAGUCCUGCUCGCCAUCCUUGGGCUCAUCAUUCAGACUCAAGCAAUAGCCAUAAGACAAACACUUGAAUCAGACCUGUAUGAAGUAGUUCAUCCUAAGAAACUACACAUUUUACGCAAAAGAGAGAUACAGAAUAACCAAACAGAGAAGCAUGUCAAAGAGGAAAGAUAUGAACCUGAACUUCAAUAUCAGAUCAUGUUAAAUGGAGAAGAAGUCAUUCUUUCCCUACAAAAAGCUGAGCAUCUCCUGGGACCAGACUACACUGAAACAUAUUACUCACCUGGUGGAGAAGAAAUCACCACAAGACCUCAGAACAUGGAACACUGCUACUAUAAAGGACACAUCCUAAAUGAAAAGGACUCUGUUGCCAGCAUUAGUACUUGUGAUGGACUGAGGGGCUAUUUUACACAUCAUGAUCAAAGAUAUAUGAUAAAGCCUCUGAAAAGCACAGACCGAGAAGAACAUGCUGUACUCACAUACAACCAGGAGGAGCUCAACCCAGCUAAUCACACCUGUGGUGUAAGAAAUGUUGGCAGGAAACAGGACCUUAUUCGAACCUCAAGGUCACUCAAAAUUUCAGAGAAAGAAGAAUUUCUUCAGGCUGAGAAAUACAUUGAUCUGCUUUUGGUGCUGGAUAAUGCCUUUUAUAAGAUGUAUAAUGAGAAUAUAACUGUGAUAAGAAGCUUUGUGUUUGAUGUGAUAAACCUACUCAACGUGAUUUACAAUACCAUAGAUGUUCAAGUGUCCUUGGUAGGUAUGGAAAUAUGGUCUAACAGUGACAAGAUAAAGGUGGUACCCAACACAGGUGACACCUUUAACAACUUUCUGAAAUGGCAUCGUUCUAACCUGGGGAAAAUGAAGACCCAUGACCACGCUCAGCUACUCAGUGGAGUUGACUUCAAAACUCGAAUUUCAGGACUGGCAGCCUCGAAUUCCUUGUGCUCCCCAUCAUCCGUCGCUGUUAUUGAGGCUAAGAGAAAGAACAGUGUCUCUCUUGUAGCAGUGAUGUCACAUGAAUUAGGUCAUGUCCUCGGUAUGCCUGAUGUUCCAUAUAACACCAAGUGUCCCUCUGGGAGUUGUGUGAUGAAUAAAUAUCUAAGUUCAAAAUUCCCAAAGGAUUUCAGUACACGUAGUCGCUCACAUUUUAAAAAAUACAUGUUAUCUCAAAAGCCAAGAUGCCUACUGCAAGCAUUGGUUCCUAAAAAUAGGACAAAACCAGUGUGUGGGAACCAACUUUUGGAAGUAGGUGAAGACUGUGAUUGUGGCUCUUCUGAGGAAUGUACCAAUCCUUGCUGUGAAGCCAUGACCUGUAUGUUAAAAAGUGAAGUUAAUUGUGGAAAAGAGACUAGCAAUAACAUAGGAUGAAUCCAAACAUCUGCUUCAGUGAAAUGCUACUUGCCAGGACAAGAAUCAAGAAAUCCAAACAUGCCAGGAAUCUUACAUAGUCUUACCAUUGUCUGUAACUGUAUUUUGCUUUUCACUUGUCCUUAUACUUCCUGUAAUUUUUACCUCUCC